UACGUAGGGUGCAAGCGUUAAUCGGAAUUACUGGGCGUAAAGCGUGCGCAGGCGGUUAUGUAAGACAGAUGUGAAAUCCCCGGGCUCAACCUGGGAACUGCACUUGUGACUGCAUAGCUAGAGUACGGUAGAGGGGGAUGGAAUUCCGCGUGUAGCAGUGAAAUGCGUAGAUAUGCGGAGGAACACCGAUGGCGAAGGCAAUCCCCUGGACCUGUACUGACGCUCAUGCACGAAAGCGUGGGGAGCAAACAGG
rnacentral:rRNA from 1 species